CACAAAUCAAACUAAAGGUUGCCUUUUGUUGUGUUAUAUCAUCGCUCAAAUCGACAUUGAGCUCGACCCUGCCAUGGCUAUAGUUUUAAUACCAUACGUCCGGCAAAAUUAGGCCAAAUAACAACAUAAAAGAGAAAACAAUUGACGAACAAGUGUAGUCGAAAAAUGGCCAACGCGGGAACGUGUGUCGCUGCUGUGUUCCUAGUUAUUAUUGUCGCCGUUCAAUGUGCAAGGUUGCGGCGUAGCGAAUAUUUAUUCGACAGGCUGGAAGAUGCAAGCAUUGCCGGGGACCACAUUAUAGCCUAUGGACCCUAUGGUGCUGACUGCAGUGAUGAUGACAGCAGUGAAAGCCUGGAGCUGGGCUACGUCAUCAUCAACAAGCGGGAAGCGCCGGUAGACCGGCGCGGGCGCAGCUCACCGGCUGAGAUAGC